rnacentral:rRNA from 1 species
UGAGGCAUCCAUGUCUUGUAAUUGGAAUGAGUAGAAUUUAAAUCCCUUUACGAGUAUCAAUUGGAGGGCAAGUCUGGUGCCAGCAGCCGCGGUAAUUCCAGCUCCAAUAGCGUAUAUUAAAGUUGUUGCGGUCAAAAAGCUCGUAGUUGGAAUUCUGCUGAGGACAACUGGUCCGCCCUCUGGGUGAGCAUCUGGUCUGGCCUUGGCAUCUUCUUGGGUAACGCAGUUGCACUUGAUUGUGUGGUGUGGAACUCAAGGCUUUUACUUUGAGGAAAUCAGAGUGCUUCCAGCAGGCUUUUGCCUUGAAUACAUUAGCAUGGAAUAAUAACAUAGGGCUUCUGUUUUAUUUUGUUGGUUUUUAGAAUUGAAGUAAUGAUUAAUAGGGAUAGUUGGGGGCAUUUGUAUUUAACCGUCAGAGGUGAAAUUCUUGGAUUUGUUAAAGACAAACUACUGCGAAAGCAUUUGCCAAGGAUGUUUUCUUUGAUCAAGACCGAAAGUUA